rnacentral:rRNA from 1 species
UACAGAGGUCUCAAGCGUUGUUCGGAUUCAUUGGGCGUAAGGGUGCGUAGGUGGCGCCGUAAGUCAGGUGUGAAAUUUCGGAGCUUAACUCCGAAACUGCAUUUGAUACUGCGGUGCUUGAGGACUGGAGAGGAGACUGGAAUUUACGGUGUAGCAGUGAAAUGCGUAGAGAUCGUAAGGAAGACCAGUGGCGAAGGCGGGUCUCUGGACAUUCUGACACUGAGGCACGAAGGCCAGGGGAGCAAAACGGG